GCGGGCCCCUACCGGGGUACCAACAAAUAUCAAACUCCGAAUACCGUAUGUGUAUGAGCUCAGGAGUCAGACUAUGUGGGACAAGCCGCAUGGUCAAAAGGGAAACAGCCCAGAUCGCCGUCUAAGGCCCCCAAGAUGGGCUAAGUGGAAUUAAGGAUGUGGAGUUGCUUGGACAAUCAGGAUGUUGGCUUAGAGGCAGCCACCAUUUAAAGAGUGCGUAAUAGCUCACUGAUCGAGUGAUUCUGCGCCGAAAAUAAUCGGGACUAAAGCCCAUUGCCGAAGACGCGACCCAGCUUGCUGGGGGUAGGAGAGCGUUCUAUGCAGGAGUGAAGCUUGAUGGAAACAACAGGUGGACCGCAUAGAAGUGAGAAUGCAGACAUAAGUAACGAAAAACCAGGUGAGAAUCCUGGUCACCGAAAUCCGAAGGUUUCCUGGGCAAGGUUCGUCCCCCCAGGGUUAGUCGGACCCUAAGGCGAGGCCCAACGGCGUAGUCGAUGGACAACAGGUUAAUAUUCCUGUACUAGCUAAGUGUAGUGAUGAAGGGACGCGGAAGGAAAAUGUUAAUGACUGAUGGAUUAGUCAUACCAAGCAGGCAAUUCGUAGAGUAGGAAAAUCCGCUUUACAUAAGAACCAACUGUGAUGGGGCGAAGAAACCCUCGGGUGGAACCGUCUAACAUGGAACCAUGCUGCCAAGAAAAGCUUCUAAGCGUUUGAUGCUUAGUUAUCCGUACUAAAACCGACACAGGUAGGAAGGUCGAGUAGACUAAGGUGCGCGAGAGAAACCACGUUAAGGAACUCGGCAAAUUAGCCCCGUAACUUCGGGAGAAGGGGUGCCCCCUCAGGGGGGCCGCAGUUAAGAGGUCUGGGCGACUGUUUAGCAAAAACAUAGCACUCUGCAAACUCGAAAGAGGAAGUAUAGGGUGUGACACGUGACCAAUGCCAAAAGGUCAAAUGGAGAGGUUAGCCUUCGGGCAAAGCUUCGAAAUGAAGCCCUGGUGAAUGUCGGCCGUAACUAUAACGGUCCUAAGGUAGCGAAAUUCCUUGUCGGGUAAGUUCCGACCUGCACGAAUCGUGUAACGAUCCAGACACUGUCUCAACGUGGAUCUCGGUGAAAUUGUAGUUCCGGUGAAAAUGCCGGAUACCCGCAGAUGGACGGAAAGACCCCAUGAACCUUUACUGUAAUCUGAUAUUGUUGUUCGGACUAAUAUGUGUAGCAUAAGUGGGAGACUGUGAACUUGCGUCGUCAGGCGUUUGUGAGUCGUCAGUGAAAUACCACCCUUAUUAGUUUGGGCAUCUAACCCCACGUCCGUGAAUCCGGAUGGGGGACAGUUUCAGAGGGUCAGUUUGACUGGGGCGGUUUCCUCCUAAAAUGUAACGGAGGAGCUCGAAGGUCUACUCAGUAUGGUCGGCAAUCAUACGUAGAGCGUAAGGGUAGAAGUAGGCUUUACUGUAACACCGACAGGUGGAGCAGUUGCGAAAGCAGGACCUAGUGAUCCAGCGGUGGAAAGUGGUAUCGCCGUUGCUCAUCGGAUAAAAGGUACUCUGGGGAUAACAGGCUUAUCGCACCCAAGCGUCCAUAGCGACGGUGCGGUUUGGCACCUCGAUGUCGGCUCAUCACAUCCUGGGGCUGAAGAAGGUCCCAAGGGUCCGGCUGUUCGCCGGUUAAAGUGGUACGCGAGCUGGGUUCAGAACGUCGUGAGACAGUUCGGUCCUUAUCCUCUGCGGGCGCAGGAUAUUUGAUAGGAGCAUUCCCUAGUACGAGAGGACCGGGAAUGAGUGACCUCUGGUGUUCCAGUUGUACCGCCAGGUGCAUUGCUGGGUAGCUAAGUCGCGAAAGGAUAAGCGCUGAAAGCAUCUAAGCGCCAAGCCCCCCUAAAGAUGAGAUAUCCCAGGAUUUAUCCUCUAAAGGCUACAGGAAGACUACCUGUUCGAUAGGCUGGAGAUGUAAGCAUAGCAAUAUGUUCAGUUGACCAGUACUAAUCAGCCGUGAGGCUUGUCC
rnacentral:rRNA from 1 species